GGCCAUACCACCCGGAAUGCGCCCGAUCUCGUCUGAUCUCGGAAGCUAAGCAGGGUCGGGCCUGGUUAGUACUUGGAUGGGAGACCAUAGAUUCAGGCCAGAAAGGUUU
rnacentral:rRNA from 1 species